GAGGAAACUGAGGCAAACAAGGUGAAGUGACUUGCCCAAGGUAAUCCAUGAAAUUGUCCAACCUGGUGAUUUUAAGGAGAGAAGUUUCAGCUGAGUGGUAAGAUCAGAAACUUGUUUGAUGGGAAGAAGAGAGGACGAAAAGAGGACAUAGAGGAUCAGCAAAGGGAUUCCAGAUCGCCAGCCAUCGCCAAACCCCCCCCCCCCCCCCCACCACAGAAGAACAGUACUACACAUCCGUCCGGGGCUUCAGAUGACCCAGAGAGCCAAAACCCAGAAAACCAUGGCACCCCAACCAACUCUUCAAAGAUAGGUUCCACGAGGAAGCAUCUGGGCUCAUGGGGAUAGAAGAAGUAAAGAGAAUGCCUUCUCACUCAGUGCAUAGAAGAGCUUCUGGAAAGUCAUGCCUCAAGCUCUUUUCUUCUCUGCUCAGACUGACGAUGGAAACACUUUUCCAUCUGCACCCCUCAGGAGUGGAGAGAGAGGGCAUUAGAGGAUCAGGGAAGCAGAGGAGGUUUUGUUCUCAAGAAGUCAAUCCUUUUUUCUCUAGGGUGCUUGUCAAGGGGACAAAUACUUGACUAUUUGGACCAGGGGAUCAUAGACUGCAGAAUGUCAGGGGUUAGAGGACGCUUCUGCUGUGUAUGUUUUGGAUCCACCAUCUCCCCUCCCCCUCUCAUUGACUUGGGGACUCAGAACCUGUAUACUAACUUCCCCAGAUCAGCAGCCCCCAGGAAUUGGAUUUUGCUCUAGUUCUUAUGAAUGUUCACUGGUGUGCAUCCCACCAUGAUUGACAGUUGGCAUCAAACACGCUUGUUCCUCAAA